AGAGUUCACUCUUCCUCUCUCAAACUGUACCAAAUCAGAAUCCCCUCCCCUUUUUCAGAACAACAACACCUAAACCGUACAGAAGCAUCACGAAAUAACGCCGGUGAUGGAUUUUCAAACAAUGACAAAUAAAUAAUGGUAAAUAAUCGAACGCAUCAUGCAUAAAGAGAAAGUGAUAACCUGUGAAUCCGUGGACGCGACGUCGACUUGGUCGAUUUGGCCUUCCUCUGAACUGCCUCCGCCUCCUUUUCUUUGCCGUCGUCCCUUCAUCUUAGGGUUUCAAACGGUACUCAAAAGUCCAAAGAAGAAAAAUUCCAGAAGUGUUUUUUGGUGCUCAGAACCGAGUUGUCCUGUUUGAUGCUAUUUUCCGGAAACGUGAAAAAUUAUUGAAGACUCAAGAGUGGUUUGGUUCCGGUGUUGAUCACAGCUCAGGUUUUAGGUUCGGUUGACAUGGUUGCAGAGGAGCAGGUUGUAAUUUUGGUGAAAUUCGACGCUUCGGUUGUGUCAUUAGCAGCAAGAUGAACAAGAUGGAUUGCUUCUCGUUGAUGAGAACGAACUUGUUCUUCGGCGUGAUCAUUCAUCGUAUUGAACUUAGCAGCCAUAGCAAGCAGUUUAGGAAAGCACGGUUGGCUUUAGACAGUGAACCUUCCAUGUGUCUCAUUUUCUGCAGAGCAUUCCUUGACAGAUAAGUUGAUCCUUAAUCUCCAAAACUGUCUGUCUGAUAGCGUGAAAUAUAAUGAUGUUCUUAUUGUCAAACCAGAUUGCUUUUCAACAACUUUAAUAAUAUUCUCAACUUUCUUUUUUGAAGGGAGCUUGUAUAUUCCUUGGAGAAAGUCAUUUUUGUGGAUGCUGAUCAGAUUAUCAGGACUGACAUGGGAGAACUCUAUGGCAUGGAUUUAAAAGGAAGACCUUUGGCAUAUAUUCCAUUUUGUGAUAACAAUAAGGAUAUGGAUGGAUAUUGUUUUUUGUUUGCCACGUCUGGGACUCUUUCAUGGAUGAUCAAAGAUGGUUUUUCUCAUAGCAGGUUUUGGUUUACAGCAUGUGCAGCCCUUGCACAAGAAAGAUACAAGUCAAUGCAGCUCUCAAGAAGUUCUAGAUGCCUACAAACAACAGUAAAAAGGGGCGCAUCUUAGGCAGAUCAACCAUAAAUCGUAGAACAGAAGUUGCAGCCACAAGGAAUGCUUGGAGUGGUUUUUGAAAUGCUUGUAAAUUGUAUGGAUGUUAGAAAAUUUAGAUGGAAUGUGCAAAGAUUAGAGAUGAUUGUAAUCCCCCUUUUUUGGGACUGCUAUGAAUUUCUGGCCACAAGUUGCUGUUGGUGCCAUAUUCGGCUAACAAUAUUGCCUUGUGAAUUGGUAGGUUCGUCUCGUCACAAUUUCAGCAUUAACACAAUGUUCUAUUUUACUCCUAGGCUCACAAGGGGCGGUCGGACGGACUUGAAGCCAAAGUAGCAAAAAUCAUGCCUCGUAGUUCAUAUCAUGCCGACAUUUACUUACGGAGGACAUACUGAGUUUGGUUUGUGAGCAUAAAGGUUGGAAGCACCUGCUGGCAUGUCCUUUUGCUAUGAGAAGUAUCACCAUCAUAUAUACCAAUAUUUAAGUCGGCAUCAAAUUCUUUUGUCACGUGUAACAAAGACCUUAGUUGAUCUUGAGCUAAUGCCUUUUGUUGGAAAUAUGUACAACGCACACGAGGAUGAAUUCUUAAGCAACUCUUCUAGAACAAGCAGGUCGUAGCAAACAGAUUUGCCACUUGACGUCAUUGUAGCCACAACAACAUUGUUUCAUCAAAAUUUUCUCUACCAACCGCAACAUCUCUCUCUGCAGUAUUUUUGCAAGCUGUUUCUGUAAUCAUAAUAGUAAUAAUAAUCUUCACAUUCCAUCAUUAUCCAUUGGAAGGUCCAUCAAUCUUCCUCCUUUUAGUAUUUGGACUAUGUCAUGUAGCAUAAAAGCUAGUGUAGGAUUGGGACCUUUUUGUAAGAACAACAUGUAAUGUCACAUUUUAGUAUCAAUGCUUAUUCUCAUGGAUAAAUACUAGCAAUGUAUUGAUAUGGAAAUGGAAUUGUUUGUCCUUUUGGAAGAUGACUUUGUAAUUCAUGAUAAUGUUGUAAUGCCAUUCUGAUUUUGAAA